UACAGAGGGUGCGAGCGUUGUCCGGAAUCACUGGGCGUAAAGGGCGCGUAGGUGGCCUGAUAAGUAGGGGGUGAAAUCUCGAGGCUCAACUUUCGAGGCUGCCUCCUAAACUGUCAGGCUUGAGCAGAGUAGAGGCAGGUGGAAUUCCCGGUGUAGCGGUGGAAUGCGUAGAGAUCGGGAAGAACAUCGGUGGCGAAGGCGGCCUGCUGGGCUCUUGCUGACACUGAGGCGCGACAGCGUGGGGAGCAAACAGG
rnacentral:rRNA from 1 species